rnacentral:tRNA from 1 species
GGUGGUGGCUCAGUGGUGGAGCACUUGCCUUGUGCUUAUGAGGCACUGGGUUUGAUCCUCAGCACCACCU